rnacentral:rRNA from 1 species
UACGUAGGGUGCGAGCGUUAAUCGGAAUUACUGGGCGUAAAGCGUGCGCAGGCGGUUUUGUAAGCCAGGUGUGAAAUCCCCGGGCUCAACCUGGGAAUGGCAUUUGGGACUGCAAGGCUGGAGUGCGGCAGAGGAGACUGGAAUUCCUGGUGUAGCAGUGAAAUGCGUAGAUAUCAGGAGGAACACCGGUGGCGAAGGCAAUCCCCUGGGCCUGCACUGACGCUCAUGCACGAAAGCGUGGGGAGCAAACAGG